GACGAACGCUGGCGGCGUGCCUAACACAUGCAAGUCGAGCGGGGAGGAGGAAGCUUGCUUCCGAAUCCCAGCGGCGGACGGGUGAGUAACGCGUGAGCAACCUGCCUCAAACAGGGGGAUAACGCAUCGAAAGAUGUGCUAAUACCGCGUAAGACCACGGCACCGCAUGGUGCAGGGGUCAAAGGAGCAAAUCCGGUUUGAGAUGGGCUCGCGUCCGAUUAGCUAGUGGUGAGAUAACAGCCCACCAAGGCGACGAUCGGUAGCCGACCUGAGAGGGUGAUCGGCCACAUUGGAACUGAGAAACGGUCCAGACUCCUACGGGAGGCAGCAGUGGGAAUAUUGGGCAAUGGGCGAAAGCCUGACCCAGCAACGCCGCGUGAGGGAAGAAGGGUUUAC
rnacentral:rRNA from 1 species